UAUAAAAAUAAAUGAUAUACCUGUAUAUACUAGUAAUAUGGUCUAGUGUUUCUACGUCUUACCAUUGGAAGAAGACGCUAUAGGUUAAUGCUUUUGCUUU
rfam:Spiroplasma melliferum KC3 contig4, whole genome shotgun sequence.